rnacentral:rRNA from 1 species
CAGGGAUUGCCCCAGUAACGGCGAGUGAAGCGGCAACAGCUCAAAUUUGAAAUCUGGCCCUUUUGGGUCCGAGUUGUAAUUUGUAGAGGAUGCUUUUGGCAAGGUGCCGCCCGAGUUCCCUGGAACGGGACGCCACAGAGGGUGAGAGCCCCGUCUGGCUGGCCACCGAGCCUCUGUAAAGCUCCUUCGACGAGUCGAGUAGUUUGGGAAUGCUGCUCAAAAUGGGAGGUAUAUGUCUUCUAAAGCUAAAUAUUGGCCAGAGACCGAUAGCGCACAAGUAGAGUGAUCGAAAGAUGAAAAGCACCUUGAAAAGAGGGUUAAAUAGUACGUGAAAUUGUUGAAAGGGAAGCGCUUGUGACCAGACUUGGGCGCGGCGGAUCAUCCGGGGUUCUCCCCGGUGCACUUCGCCGUGUCCAGGCCAGCAUCAGUUCGUCGCGGGGGAAAAAGGCUUCGGGAACGUGGCUCCCCUGGGAGUGUUAUAGCCCGUUGCAUAAUACCCUGCGGUGGACUGAGGACCGCGCAUCUGCAAGGAUGCUGGCGUAAUGGUCACCAGCGACCCGUCUUGAAACACGGACCAAGGAGUCGUCUUCGUAUGCGAGUGUUCGGGUGUCAAACCCCUACGCGUAAUGAAAGUGAACGCAGGUGAGAGCUUCGGCGCAUCAUCGACCGAUCCUGAUGUUCUCGGAUGGAUUUGAGUAAGAGCAUACGGGGCCGGACCCGAAAGAAGGUGAACUAUGCCUGUAUAGGGUGAAGCCAGAGGAAACUCUGGUGGAGGCUCGCAGCGGUUCUGACGUGCAAAUCGAUCGUCAAAUAUGGGCAUGGGGGCGAAAGACUAAU